AAUCAACGCUGGCGGCGCGCUUAACACAUGCAAGUCGAACGAGAAAGUGGAGCAAUCCAUGAGUACAGUGGCGCACUGGUGAGUAACACGUGGGUAAUUUACCUCUUUGUGGGGAAUAACCCUGGGAAACCGGGGAUAAUACCGCAUACGUCCGAGAGGAGAAAGCCGAAAGGCGCAGAGAGAGAAGCCCGCGCCCGAUUAGCUAGUUGGUGAGGUAAAAGCCCACCAAGGCGACGAUCGGUAGCCGGCCUGAGAGGGCACACGGCCACACUGGCACUGAAACACGGGCCAGACUCCUACGGGAGGCAGCAGUGGGGAAUCUUGCACAAUGGGGGAAACCCUGAUGCAGCGACGCCGCGUGAACGAUGAAGCCCUUCGGGGUGUAAAGUUCUUUCGACAGGAACGAUAAUGACGGUACCUGAAGAAGAAGCUGCGGCUAACUACGUGCCAGCAGCCGCGGUAAUACGUAGGCAGCAAGCGUUGUUCGGAAUUACUGGGCGUAAAGAGUGCGUAGGUGGUUGGCUAAGUUUGGUGUGAAAUCUCCCGGCUCAACUGGGAGGGUGCGCCGAAAACUGGCUAGCUAGAGUGUGGGAGAGGGACGUGGAAUUCCUGGUGUAGCGGUGAAAUGCGUAGAUAUCAGGAGGAACACCUGCGGU
rnacentral:rRNA from 1 species